GCCUACGGGAGGCAGCAGUGAGGAAUCUUGCGCAAUGGGGGAAACCCUGACGCAGCAACGCCGCGUGAGUGAGGAAGGUCUUCGGAUCGUAAAGCUCUGUCAGAUGGAAAGAACCGCAUGAGGGCCAAUACCCCUCAUGCCUGACGGUACCAUCAGAGGAAGCACCGGCUAACUCCGUGCCAGCAGCCGCGGUAAUACGGGGGGUGCAAGCGUUGUUCGGAAUUAUUGGGCGUAAAGAGCGUGUAGGCGGCAGGAUGUGUCAGAUGUGAAAGCCAUGAGCUCAACUCAGGAAGUGCAUUUGAAACUGUCCAGCUUGAGUAGGGGAGAGGGAAGUGGAAUUCCUGGUGUAGAGGUGAAAUUCGUAGAUAUCAGGAGGAACACCGGUGGCGAAGGCGACUUCCUGGCCCUAUACUGACGCUGAGACGCGAGAGCGUGGGUAGCAAACAGUAUUAGAUACCCCGGUAGUC
rnacentral:rRNA from 1 species